CCUAAACAAGCCCAAAUCCACUAAAACCACUUAGGCUUGAGAUUACUCAAACAUUAAAUAGGCCCAAUUCUUUAUAGCCGAGUCUUCCCACUUCGAAUCCCCAACGUAUUACUGACGUUUGGCCCUGCUGCAAGUUCAUUCCUAAAGCUAAAACAUUAACUCCAGAGCAAGCGCGGCUCAACCAUCAACGCUCUCAGACUUCAAAUUGAGAAUAACUUAAACAUCACCCUUGAUAGCCUAGGUGUGCCACCAGACCCACAUCGCCGCCAUGCCAAAGCCU
rnacentral:lncRNA from 1 species